GGGGAGCUGACCAAGGAAUCGUGGAAGUCGGAGUACUCAAGGGGCUACCAGCCAAGGUAAUCCUCGGGAAUGAUCUGGGACAAGGACUAGUGACACGCUUCGUCCAGGUGGUAACCAGAAGCCAAACACGAAGAGAGGUGACCCAGGCUACAGAUAUGGUCCAGAAUCAGCCUACCCAGACAAUGGGACGAGACCAUCACAAUGCUGACGGGUUAUCCAGACGUGAGGAAACAAAUGCCAGACUUCGCAGACCUUCGGGCCGAGACAACAGUCAGGACUCCAACAUUGGCAUCAUGCCUGUCUCCUCGAUUUAAGAAGGGGGAGGUAUGUGAGGAGACCAGGGAAAGGGAUGUCUAGGACAUGCUUUCAUGUUAAAAAGGAUAGAGUUAAUCCUAUGGCCCAAGUUCUGAGUUCUUAAAUUGAAGCCCUCAGUCUGCAGAAGUCACACACAGGAAGUAUCCCAGAAGCAUACAGCAGGGGAGUGUUUCUUUUAGAAAAGCCCUCCUCCUUCCCCUCUGGAAAGACUGACAGCAUGAUCCACCAAUCAGAAAGGAGGAGAGAGAAGGAACCAGCAAGGGGGAAUUGUGGGGAGAGGAAGUGGCUGGGAGAAGGAGACUGUGUGUGUGUGGAGGUGAUGGUGCACAGCUAGACUCACUGGAGGUUGGGGUGUCGUCCCCUCUCAGUGUCAUCAGUGACCAGCCACUCUGUGUGCCCUGCUACAGCUGUCAUUACUGCCCAGGACUGGAGGAGAUAUACAGCAGCUGGUAAGGACUUUGCUGAACUCUGAGUGGACAUUAUUAGUAUAACCCUGCUUGCUGUUCACUGGAUUUCUGGGUCUCCCUGAAUAAAGAUCACCUUGAUUUUCAUUAUAA